AUUGAACGCUGGCGGCAUGCUUUACACAUGCAAGUCGAACGGCAGCGCGGGCUUCGGCCUGGCGGCGAGUGGCGAACGGGUGAGUAAUACAUCGGAACGUGCCCAGUAGUGGGGGAUAGCUCGGCGAAAGCCGGAUUAAUACCGCAUACGACCUGAGGGUGAAAGCGGGGGAUCUUCGGACCUCGCGCUAUUGGCGCGGCCGAUGGCAGAUUAGCUAGUUGGUGGGGUAAAGGCCUACCAAGGCGACGAUCUGUAGCUGGUCUGAGAGGGCGACCAGCCACACUGGGACUGAGACACGGCCCAGACUCCUACGGGAGGCAGCAGUGGGGAAUUUUGGACAAUGGGCGAAAGCCUGAUCCAGCAAUGCCGCGUGUGUGAUGAAGGCCUUCGGGUUGUAAAGCACUUUUGGCGGGAACGAAAAGGACUGUGCCAAUACCACGGUUCGAUGACGGUACCCGCAGAAUAAGCACCGGCUAACUACGUG
rnacentral:rRNA from 1 species